rnacentral:lncRNA from 10 species
UGGCAGCUCAGUAGGUUUGCUUACACCAGCAUCACAACAAACGUGACUAAUGUUUUGCACUACAAUAUUAUGACAACUACGGCAUUACUAACUGAUAGGAAUUUUCAGUUCUGUUUAUUACCUUAUAGAACCACCACUGUAUUUAUGGUCUGUCAUUGACUAAUAUGUCACUAUGCAGUGCAUAACUAUAUUAGUUGCUUGUAAGCGUGUCUUCAUGAGUUGGGAAUAUGUUAUGUUUUAUAUGCAUGCUUAUUUAUUUGCAAAAGGAUGCUUCUUCUAAACUCAAACUUAAUGUGUGACUUUACAUUCAGACAUUCAGGAGCACAUAAACACACAAAUGCACAAGUGCACAUACACGUGUAUGCACACACACACUCAUCUCAUAGCAUCUAUUUAAGGCAGCCAACUCACAUUCCUCUCUCACUAAUCAAAUAAACAGAAAAUAAGUAAGGUUAUAUAGAACAUCAGAACAAUGCUAUCAACCAGCUUGACACAAUGAGAUUUAUAGAACACCCCCAAACAACUCUCAAAGUCUUUUCCUCAGACUUCAACAUUUGAAAAUGGGAAAUUUAAUUUAUUGUGUACAUCAUAUUGUUUUGAAACAUGUAUAUAUUGUAGGAUGGCUAAAUCUAGCUAAUUCACAUAUACAUUGCUUCACAUAUUUAUCUUUUUUGUGGUAAGAACAUUUAAAAUCUAUUUUCUUAGCAACGUGCAAGAAUAUAAUGUUUUUAUUAACCACAGCCACCAUGCUGUCUGCAAAAUAGAUCUCUUAAACUAAUCCUUCCUAUCUAGCUGAAAUUUUGUAUCCUUUGAUCAACAUCUUCCCGACCCUUAUAUUUUAUUAGAAUGAGUCAUUUCCAGUCCGAUGAAAUCCAUUACUGUUUUAAAGCCCCAUUCCGUGUAGGUCACAUACUAGUUUAAGUUUUGAGAGAUACUAUGUAUAUUCGGAUAAAUUGUAUCAGGGAGUCAGUAUAGGAUCCUUGAAGAGCAUUGUAUUUGAUAUGAGAACUGGAUUUACAACAUUCUAGAAGGAGGAUUUUGGGGAAAUGUGUUAAUCACUCUAAGUUUUUGCUUCCUUAUUUGUAAAUGGAGACAAGAACUCUUAUCUUAACACUAUUGUGGUAAGGAUUCAAUGAGGGAGCUUUUUGUAAACUAAAGCUAAAGUUCUGUAAAUAGGAAAGACUUUCAAAAUAGUAAUGGUUGAGCUUGGGUGGAACUGAUUGAACUCACAUCUCCUUUCAUCACCCCUUAUUUAUUCAUGGGAAACAAGAAAGCACAGAGAAGGAGAAUUCUUUUACUUUAGGUGGAGAUGGACUCCAGGUUUUUUGACUCCUAGUCUAGCAUCCUCUAUACUUCAUGGAAACUGUUUUCUAUUUUAUUUCUUUUUGCUUCUUUGUAAUAAUAAAAAAUUCUAGUAAAUGAUUUUUUGGUACAUCAUGCUAUCUUCCGGGAUUAACUCCUCAGAGUCCUCCAAACAAUUUGCAAAGUUAAUGACUCCUGGGUAUUUAUGAGAUUAUGGUUAAGUGAAGUUAAGCCACAAAAGUCUAUUAAAAAAUAAUUUCCAGACUUUUCAUAUGCAAAUUAUUCUUGUGGAUUUACCUCCCACCCUUGUUUAUAGUAUGUUGACCAUCUUCUUUCUAAGCAAGAUUCAGGGUCUUAUUUCAUCAUGAUUUCACCUGUUGUGAUUGGGUUCUGUGUUCUUAUGUUUGUUCU